rnacentral:rRNA from 1 species
AUUGAACGCUGGCGGCAGGCUUAACACAUGCAAGUCGAGCGAGCGGCGGACGGGUGAGUAAUGUCUGGGAACCUGCCUGAUGGCGGGGGCUAACUACUGGAAACGGUAGCUAAUACCGCAUACCAUCAGAUGUGCCCAGAUGGGAUUAGCUAGUAGGUGGGGUAAUGGCGCACCUAGGCGACGAUCCCUAGCUGGUGUUAGAGGGUGACCAGCCACACUGGGACGGAGACACGGGCCAGACGCCUACGGGAGGCAGCAGUGGGGAAUAUGGCACAAUGGGCGCAAGCCUGAUGCAGCCAGGCCGCGUGUGUGAAGAAGGCCUUCGGGUGGUAAAGCACUUUCAGCGAGGAAGCGUUACUCGCAGAAGAAGCACCGGCUAACUCCGUGCCAGCAGCCGCGGUAAUUC